AAAGCAAAAGCAUCACUUUGCCAAUGUGCUCCAGCCAGGACUCCCAUUAUCAAAUCUAGAGAUAGAAGUCUCACUUGCUCGACGGGGUGUUAUCUACUUUCUUCAUACAACACGGAAAGAUCCAGAGCUCCUCCAGGAACUCUUGUUGGAGGCAGAAGAAACAGGAGACAGAGAUACAAUGACAUUCUAUGAAAAGUUAAUACAUGGAUGAUGAUAAUGAACUGUGUAAAGAAGAGGUAGAAUGUUAUAAAAAGACAGUGGUUUUUGUCUUCUAUUCUUGUAAAAAAAUUAAAAUGUUUUAAAGG